AGAGGAAGGGCUAAGCCAAAGGAUCAGGAGGAACCCAGGGCCGGGGACCCAGGGCUUCUUCAGGGAAACAGAGGCUGCCAUCUUCUGGGGGUGAUGGCCUUCUGCCUGGUAGUCUCCAGGCCAGUGUUUACGGGGUCUCUUGAGCGCAUCUCUCAGUGGAUGGUGGCCCCCAUCACAGCGCCUCUUGUGUUCACAGCUCUUAAGUUUCUACCCUCACGCCAGUCCCAGAGUCUCUUGUCUGCAGAGGGCCUGGCUUUCCUUCACAUUCGUUCAUACUCUGGCUCCAGUCAGCCCUGGGUCCCAGAGGCUCAGCGCCAGGGACCAAGCCUUGGCGGAUUCUUCUCCCCCCAUCUUGGGGUUUUCUCUGUGACUGGAUCCUGUAUAUGCAGCCCCUUCCUGAUUUCUCUCCUCGGGUUCAGGUGGCAGCAACGCAGGGCACAGGGACAGCAGCAUUCUGGAGGGUCACUGGGUACAACCUUUGUUUGUGCAAGUUAAUGAUUCACUGAAUUGCCCCCAGGAGGCCCAGAGGAGGCAGGGCUCUGCCAUUCCCGGGGCAUGGAGGAAAAGAAACAGCCUCUCCUGCUGCAAAAUCACUUUGCCCUUCUCUUCUUGUGGCCCCGCGUCAGCGUGACGGGGCCGGCCGUCGCUGUCAUCAGCCCUCACUAGCUCCCAAGGUGCCUUCCUUGACACAACGUUGCUACUGGAUCGGACACUCCAGGGCUACGGGAGGAAGCUCCACACACAAGCCCAGAUCGAAAUGAGACUCACGGCUGUCCCCUUCCUCCUGAACCCAUCACUGGGCCAUGCCCCUCCUGCUCGCACAUCUUAAAACAAAACAAGAUGGACCAAGCAGACCUCCUGCCAUCUUGCAUAUCUUCUGGCUUCUGUCCCCUACCCCUCAUUCCCCCUAACAGUGAAGUUUCUUUACAGAUAUGUACAUUUUAAUAUUUCAGACACUUCAGAAAAGUAGAGAAUAAAUCACCACUUUGUUGGUUUCUAACAAAACGUGACAAAUACAGCUGAAACUCCCUUUGAGCCCCUCCUCAAUCUCAUUACCUUUCUUCCUUCCUAGAGGCAACUGCUGACCCAAAACUAGUCAGCUUGGCAGUGGUUACAUGCUUGUACUACAAAUAUACCUAUACAUAUGCCAUAUCACUUUCAUGUCCGUUUUACGUAAGCGAUAGCACGUUUUUCAUAUUCUGCAACUUGCUUCUAACCCAACAUUACAUUUUCAAGAUUCAUCCUCGUUAAUACACAUAGCUCUCGUGCAAUUUAAUUUUUGGAGAGCACUCUAUUAUAUGACUGUACUACCCCUUACUGUCCAGUUUCUUAGAAGACUAGUUUCUACUCUUCAUCGUCUGUCUGCCCUCCCAUCUCCUCUUAACUCUCUCCUACUCGCCUUCUGCCCCCAUCCCACCACCUGUCAGGUUCUCCAGUGGUACGCCCCAUGGACGCUUUUAGCCCUUAUCUUACUGGACCUCUGUGCCACAUUCUUGUCUGGAUUACUUCUGCCUCCUGAGGCUCUCCUUCCUUUCUGAGCUCUCAAUUGGCAUCUCCUCCAAGAAUGAUUCCUCUUUUGCCGUCCCCCUAGAUCAGUGGUUCUCAAUCGGUGGAGGAGGGGGCAAUUUUGUGCCCCAGGGAACAUUUAACAAUGUCUGGAGACGCUGGUUGUCACAGGGCAGGUAUUACUGACGUCAAACAGGUAUAGGCUGGGGAUGCUGCUUAACAUCCUACAGUGACAAGACAGUCCCAAACCACAAAGAACUAUCUGGCUCCAAAUGCUAACAGUGCCAAGGUUGAGAACCCCCAGUCUAGAGAUUGCUCUUCUAUAAGGUUCCGGUCUGACCCCUCUUCCCUUCCUGUGCUCCACCCCUCUUGCAUCACCUCACUUGCUCUUUGGAGACUGUUGAAACAGCUGGACAGGCUAGCAUAUUUCCUAGGAUUCCUACCUGACAGCUUGCCUUGGGGGCUAGACUUACCCGGACGCUGGGCCGCUCUGGGGGGACCUCGGACACCAUGUUGUGGUUGGAUGUGUCGCUGUUGGUGAUAGCCGGGCGUUUUCCACCUGCUUUAUUGGACAUGUCCAAGGCCGAUCUGAUUUCAGGUUGAUGAAAACAGAAGAAAGGGACUGGUCAGAACCCAGAAAGAAUGGAAGGGCCCUAGCUGUAUUCCCUACCCUGCCACCCACUGUUCCCGCAUCAGCACAAAAUCACAUCCCCUAAGCGCUAUCAAGAGGUCACCUCAGCUGCUCCUUCCGCUCUUCUGAGACCACAUGCCAGUAAUCUUGGUUGGGCAUUUUCCUCUUUCUUUCCUGUAAACUUAUUUUAAAAACCUAGACCUUAGGACUCUGGAACUCCUUUUCCUUCUAACUGAAGAGACACAAUGCCUCAGUGGAUAUGAGAGUCAUUUAACGGUCUUUCUUUUCCUUCCAUUCACUGAGUCGAGAUCCACAGAGGAAGCCGAGAGGAAUUCACAUUUGGCUCUCAGGGUUAUAUCACCUUCCCUCAGCACCUCCCUCAAAGGCCCCUGGGUGAUACGCCCACCUCAAAACUAUCUCACUCCUCGAGCCUGAGAUCUGGGAGACACUGGGAAAAGUGGGUGAGGUCAACAAGCUGGAUGGCCCUUAGAAGCUUCCAUUCCUCAGGACUGAGAGAUCCAGAAACUCCAUUCCUGAGCUCGGGCUGGGACCCACUCACGCUUCCAGUCCAGGGUCCCCGCAUCUAAGGGGCCACUUGAUGUACUGAGGCCCCAGGGACCAUCAGGCAUCGAGCUCCCAGCCAUGUUCAGAUAGAAUCCAAAGCCCUGUGCAGAGAAGCCCGGUCAGGUCUGGCAGGGCCCUCGCUCAGAAGCCCCCGACCCAGUGAGCCGCCCAUCAGCCUGCUCACGGAACUCGGCUCACCGGCCACUGAAGAAAUCCCUACCUGACCCGCCGAUCAGCCCGAAACUUCAACAUCCUUUUGGCAGCUCUGUCCCCUGUUCGGCAGCCUCAGAGGACCUGCCAGCCACCCUGCUCCUACCAUCCCUCUGAGAAGUAAGUCCUCCGGGUCCCGGUGGCCAGCUCAGGGCGCGAGGCAGGCGCGGCUGGCUCCCCCUCCUCCCGGCUCCGGCACCAGGCGAGGGGGAGGGGCUCUCCCCGGGUGGUGGCAGGGGGUGCCCAGGUGCCCUGGGGGGCCCGUGGCUUCCUAGCAUCCAACCCGAAUGCUGCCGUCUGAGUGCUGGAGGCAGAUUAAAUGAGCAGGGAUGAUAUCCUCCCGGUCCAGGUCCCCGAGGAGAAAACGCUGAAACAGAGGCGGGCGGGCGCCGAGCAGGUGUACAAGUUCCAGGUAGUCCGACCUCCCUGAGCUAAGGACACAGAGUGGCCGGGCGGGCGGAGCCGUCUGGGGCCGCGCUCCCAUCUGCGCGGCCUGCAGGAAGACGGUCUUUCCUACCUCCCGACCCCCAGCCCCGAACGCAGGCCCUUGGGCUGAAAUCCACGUGCUUCGCAGAGACCCUUCUGAUCCCGCGGGCACGAGGGUUAAAAGAAGCUCCAGGCUCGGCUGCUGCCACUGCCUAGAAGCUGAGAUUAAGUUUCCCAGACUUCGGCGCAGACAGGGCACAGCGAGGGGGGCUUCUGCGCAGCAACCCCCCCCCCCCCAAACGUGCUCUCUUAGGACCCAGCCCCGCCUGGCUUGCCCUCCGUUUGGGGUCCAGCUGAGGGGCACGGGGAGCCAGAGCUGGUGGCAAGGACCUGGCUUCUUUGCUCUGGUGCACUGGAAGGAAAGCUUCCUCCCAAAGCGUGUGAGGAAGAGGGCAGCAAACAGGGCUCAGAGGGGGUCACCGUGUGUUUACUUCUGAAAAUCUUCCCAGAUGCCAUAUGAUAAAUCCCAGCUGGCGACUGUCGGAUCUGCUCAGGGGCAAAGGAGGUUUGCAUCGCCUUGAAGUUCCCUGAACUCUCCAGGGCCUGAAGACGAUCAGAUCUCCCCUUUCCCUAAUGCCCUCGGUGUGUCUGAGGGUCCUGGGACUGCAAGGGCCUUCUGAAGGUCAUCUCUUCCAACCCCCUGCCUCCAGGCAAGCUCACUCUGCAAUCAAUCUCAUUAAGUGCCCUGGCUGUUCACAAAGGGCUCCAGCAAGGGAGGCUCCAGACCCGCUGUCAGCUUAUGCUGCCAACUUGUUCUUUCUUGAUAUCAAAUUUCAGUUCCUCUGGCUUUCCAUAUUAUUCCAUUUCUGCCUUCGGAUGACAGAAUCCCUUCUGAGCAGCAUGGUCGUUUAUCGCAGCACCAGGCAGUCUGUUGACAUCAUAGUCUGUUGUUAUGGCAAUUCUGUGAUGUCACAGACACUGAAAGGGGAGGGCGGAUCUAAUUUUUUGGAUCGAGGUCACAACUCAGAGAACCGUGCAAUCAGUGAAUGCAAAAGCGAGCAGACAACAUUAUUAUUUAACUAUGACAAGACAAGCCGGCUGGCUAGAGCUGGGGUCAACAGCUACUGAUACUGAGGCAACUAAUCCUAAAUCCAAACGGUCAAUAUAUUCAACCAUUUAGCGGUACUUUUGCAAAUGGUGACAAGAGCCUUUGGGUACCAGAUCCCAUCUCUCUCUGGCCCAGCCUAAUUAUUUGAGCCCUGCUAUGGUUGCGGGAAUCUGGGCGCUCCUCUGGUGCCAGCUUGAGGUCUCUGCCUGUGCACAGUAGGUGCCUAAUAAAUAUUUGUUGAACCAACAAGUGAAUGAAUGAACGAACAAAAGAAACCCUCCGUGCUCCACCUUAAUUUUUAGCCACCUGCAUUUGGAGUUUGACAUUCUAUUACCAAGGGCCUCCCUACCUUUGCUCUCUCUUAAAAUUAAUUACUUCCUCUCCGUGAGAGAAGCUCUGUCUCUGCCCCCUCGCCCCUUCACUCAGCUCCCCUGCCUGGCUCCCCCUCAAAUAUAUAGCUUGGCUUUGAUCCGUCUUCAUUAGGAGGGGAAGAAAAUUAAGCUCAUCUGUACAGGAGGAGGGAGUGGAGGUGCAUUGGGAAAAUGAGUUUUCUUCCUCUAGAAGGCAAAAAAUAUCCCCUUUCUCUUCAAGCUGAGCUCAGGAACCUCCCACAGGCUUUGCUUAAGUUGUAAGCUAAAUUACUUCUCCCAUGCCCAGUGAAGCUAGCACAAGGGAGUAGGAAUGUAGGCUCAGGGGCUUUCCCUGCUUGUCGAGGACUCUGAAAUCCUCAGGGUUCAGGCACACAGAAUGCCUAGCUGGGGUUCUUUUCCUUCACCACUAAACUGCACAGAAUGACAGGUUGUCAUUUUAGGGUAGACGUCAAGAAGAACUUACCAGGUGCAGGAUAUUUUAAAAGGGAAACAAGGAUAGGUGAUUCAUUUUUUCUCUCUUCUUUCCUUUUUUUUUUUUUUUUUUUUUUUUUUUUUUUUUGGUGUGGGGGGGAUGUCAAAGGCCUCCAUUUCUCAGGAACAAAUAGUUAUGAGUACAUCUCCAAAUGGACCUCCUGAUUCCACCCCCCCCCCAAAAAAAAAGGGGAGAAUCUCAAGCAGUCAAGCAGAUUGUGUGAUGGAGGCAGGAACAUCCCUAAACUCCUGGAUCUCCCACUGGGUGGCCACCUUAUCCACUGUGCCUACAAACGUGGCCCCAAUGGCAGUGCCACCAGUGAAAAGAGAAUUGGGCAACACCAGGCUUACAGUCCAAGAUCCAACGGGAAUUAGCAACGUGACCUGACUUCUCUGGUUAUUCGUUUCCUCGUGUGCAAAUGAGGCCACAGUCAUUUCCAAAAGGGCAGGAAUAGGGCGUCCUCUGCCAAGCAAGCUUGGAAUGUCCUGAAAUGCUAGGCCACUGGGCUGAGCGGCUAAAAGCUUGGAUUAUCUUAUCUUCAAAGUGAUGACGACGGCGACGACGAUGACGAUUUUACUUUAUGUGAUUCCAUUCAUCUUCUGAAAAAUGAAGAUAACCGGGGUGGAUAUUCAGCACAGCCAUGCUAUGUUAUGAAAACGUUGAAAUUCUCCCUUGUUGGUCAGUAAAGAGCAGCUCUUGAGCGCCCCCUCCUCACCUCCCCACCGGUGCCUGCCCCGACCUCCCCCCCCCCCCCCCAGAGAUCCAAAGACACCACGGGGGAGGGGGGGCCCACAGGACUCCAGGCCCCUGCCCUUUCUGGUCCACGAAUUACUGAACAUCAUUCCUGAAGCCGCCAUUCCUUAACUGUCAGAACACCAAUGGCCCUUGCAAGUGUCAAGAUCGGGAUUCUGGGCCCAGAAGUUGUGAUGUGCAGGACGCAAGACGAGAGGGGCCUUUCCCGCUUUUCCAUCCCACGCCUGACCCAACUUGGGAGAACUGGGGCAACGCAGCUCCCUGGGGCUCCUCACCUUCCUUGCCCUCACGCUUUGGUUUUGUUCCCUGCUGAAGGGAAAGGAAAUUUAGGAAGGACUGUCAUUCUGGCUCCACCUUCCCUCCUCACAGCCUUUCCUGAGUGGUGAAGCCUGAUGGGAGCAGGGGGAAGGCCCCAGUCUCCUCCCUCAGCCUCCAAGCCGCCUUCUCCUGACAGUCAGCAAGAGUCCCACGAGAUAAAGGGGCAGGAUACUAAUUAAUUACUGUCUCCCCCCCCCCCCCCCCCCCCCCCCCGGCUCUGAGCUAAAUCCCCAAACCCCAACCUUUCAGAAGCUGAGGCGGCCCAGCUGUCUGCUUCCGAGCCUCCAGAAGGUCACUGGAACCAGCUCUCUUCAUUCCUAGCUCAGCAGAUUUGGUUCUGGUGUCCCAGACAACAGUCCCACCCCACCUCACCCCAAGGGAAAGCAUUCGACAGAGAAAGAAGAGGGACAAAGCUUCAUGAUUCAGAGGGAGACACCUGCUCCACCAGGCUGGCUGCAAGAACACAGGGAUAAGAGACACAAACCCUCUUACUUGUAAGCCCAUGGGCCAUAGGUCUGGGGACCGUGUGUGACAUGGAGCGGGGGCGGGGGGGUACCCACGAAUGUUAGUCCGACAACACCUGCCUGGGUGCGGAGAUGCGGAAGGGCGGCCGCACGCAAACUGCUUACCGCCUGGGCCUCCUCGGUUGCUGUUGGCCAGCACCUCACACACAGUAGGAACAGAAUGGGUGAUGGCCGUGGUUGCAGAGGCAGUGGGAGGAGUGGAUGUGUGCCACUGCACUUUGGGAGAUGGAACUGUGAGUGAGAGAGGCAGGAGGGCUCAGCUUCCGGUCCCUCUCGCUGGGGGAUGUGAAGGCAGGUUCCAUAUGCUCCAGGGCCCCCUCCUCUCCUCCCCCCUCCCAACUGGCCAGCCCACGCUGAUAAGAGUCUAUGAAGCAGGGGCUUUGUCUGGGGGAGAGGAGAGCAGUAAAUCAAUGGGAGCAGAGAGCAGGGGCCUGGACAAUUGCUUCUGGGGGGGAGGAGCCCUCAUCUCAGGGAGGCGCAUGGAGCAAGGGGGGGGCAAAGGCAGGCGGAUGGCAGCAAAGCUUUAGUGUUAGCAUCACCCCUCACCUGCCCUGGGGGAGCCAAGCCGGCCCCUCCCCCCAGGGAGGGCUCAGCUGCUCAUCUCUCCUAGACUGGGGGACACAGAUGGAUUGUGGGAAAUUCCGAACACCUCCUUCUGCUGGGAGUGAGGAGUCUGGAACUUCCCAUGUGCUUGGGGAGCUUGCCAAGGGCUCUGAGGGCAGAGGCAUCUCCCCAGAUUGCUGUCUGCUGUAGGGAGGAUCCAAAGUGAUCCUGGGAACGCAGGCCACCAGUGGAACGGGCCAGAAAAUGGCUGUACCUGGGGAAGGUCAUUGCCGUCUUCCCCCUCUGUGGACUGAGGACAGCUGUAGAGUGCUCCCCCUGCUAUCCCAGAGAGGAGAAGUGAGAUCUAGAAAGGAAAGGACUUAGAGAACUAUUGAAGAAGGCUGUCCCAUAGAGUCAAAGAAUGGAGAGUGUGUGGGUUACCCUUACGGAAAAGGGUGAGGGCAGUGGUUUCCCCAUCUGUAACAAAGUGACACCAGAGAUGUUAAGUUAAACAAGAUCGCAUGUUGGAAGCACAUAAUCGUUCCUCGGCAAUUGCUGAAGUUAUAAUCAUUAAUAAAUUAAAGGGAUCACAUAAAACAAGUAGCAUUAUUCUAAAGCUGUGCCGUCCAGUUUAGUAGCCAUUAGUCAUAUGGGACUAUUUACAUUGGAAUUAAGUAAGAUGAAAUCAAAUUAAAAUGCCA